UGCAAGGCAUUCAAAUGAGUCUCUAUAAGCCCCAAAUCAUUCUUAUGUCUCGGAGAUAGCCUGAAAAACCCACUCGAUCUAUCGAUUUUCUCCGACCUGAUCGAUGGUAACGAAAGCUGCAGAUUUGUUCCACUAGCAGCCUCCAUGCGUGCAGCUUAGACAAUCAAAUCCUCCAAAGACAAUGCACUCUCUUUCAUUACAACACUGCAAGAAAAUCAAAUUACAAACCAAAAAAAACGAAAAAACAAAACCCUAGCAUUAUGUCGCAAUUGAUUGAAGCAAUAACAAUUGAAACAGAACCAAACGCUUAAUCAAACGAAUCAAUACGAACUGCUAAUUUUAAUUUAUCAGGAACGAUUUUCCUAUCAGAAGGAAAAUAUUG
rnacentral:lncRNA from 1 species